rnacentral:rRNA from 1 species
UACGAAGGGGGCUAGCGUUGCUCGGAAUUACUGGGCGUAAAGCGCACGUAGGCGGUCUUUUAAGUCGGGGGUGAAAUCCUGGAGCUCAACUCCAGAACUGCCUUCGAUACUGGAAGACUUGAGUCCGGGAGAGGUGAGUGGAACUGCGAGUGUAGAGGUGAAAUUCGUAGAUAUUGGGAGGAACACCAGUGGCGAAGGCGGCUCACUGGACCGGAACUGACGCUGAGGCGCGAAAGCGUGGGGAGCAAACGGG